rnacentral:rRNA from 1 species
CGGCGACGAGUUCGCCGGCAGGGUCGCCCCCGAAGCAACAAGUGUGGUUCACAGAGGGUUGGAGGUCGGGCGUGAGCCCUCACUCAGUAAUGAUCCCUCCGUAGGGGUAACCUGCGGAGGGAUCAUUACUGAGUGAGGGCGUCCGCCCGACCUCCAACCCUCUGUGAACCACACUUGUUGCUUCGGGGGCGACCCUGCCGGCGAACUCGUCGCCGGGCGCCCCCGGAGGUCUUCUAAACACUGCAUCUUUGCGUCGGAGUUCAAAACAAAUCGAACAAAACUUUCAACAACGGAUCUCUUGGUUCUGGCAUCGAUGAAGAACGCAGCGAAAUGCGAUAAGUAAUGUGAAUUGCAGAAUUCAGUGAAUCAUCGAAUCUUUGAACGCACAUUGCGCCCUUUGGUAUUCCGAAGGGCAUGCCUGUUCGAGCGUCAUUUCACCACUCAAGCCUGGCUUGGUAUUGGGCGUCGCGGUGUUUCGCGCGCCUUAAAGUCUUCCGGCUGAGCUGUCCGUCUCCUAGCGUUGUGGAUUCUUCAAUUCGCUUCGGAGUGCGGGCGGCCGCGGCCGUUAAAUCUUUAUUGAAAGGUUGACCUCGGAUCAGGUAGGGAUACCCGCUGAACUUAAGCAUAUCAUAG